AUUGAACGCUGGCGGCAUGCCUUACACAUGCAAGUCGAACGGCAGCACGGGAGCAAUCCUGGUGGCGAGUGGCGAACGGGUGAGUAAUAUAUCGGAACGUGCCCGGUCGUGGGGGAUAACGUAGCGAAAGCUACGCUAAUACCGCAUACGAUCUACGGAUGAAAGCGGGGGGAGUCGCAAGACCUCGCGCGAUUGGAGCGGCCGAUAUCAGAUUAGGUAGUUGGUGAGGUAAAGGCUCACCAAGCCGACGAUCUGUAGCUGGUCUGAGAGGACGACCAGCCACACUGGGACUGAGACACGGCCCAGACUCCUACGGGAGGCAGCAGUGGGGGAAUUUUGGACAAUGGGGCGCAAGCCUGAUCCAGCAAUGCCGCGUGCAGGAU
rnacentral:rRNA from 1 species